rnacentral:tRNA from 1 species
GCUAUCGUGGCGGAAUUGGCAGACGCUGCAGACUUAAAAUCUGUUGCCCAUUAGGGCGUGAGGGUUCGAGUCCCUCCGGUAGUA